AGUUAAAAAGCUCGUAGUUGGAUUUCUGUGGGGGCGGAGCGGCCGGCCGCAACUUGCGGUUCGAGCUAGCGCUUCCCCUACAUCCUGCCGCGAACCGUGCUACCAUUAGUUUGGUGGCGCCGGGGAUCGGCUCGUUUACUUUGAGAAAAAUAGAGUGUUCAAAGCAGGCCACACGCCUUGAAUAAGUUAGCAUGGAAUAAUAAUAAAGGACUUCGGUUCUAUUUUGUUGGUGUUCGGGACUGAAGUAAUGAUUGAUAGGGACAGUUGGGGCGGUCAGUAUUCCAAAGCGAGAGGUGAAAUUCUUAGACCUUCGGAAGACUAACAGCUGCGAAAGCGUUCCGCAAGGAUGUUCCCUUUGAUCAAGAGCGAAAGUUGGGGGAUCGAAGACGAUCAGAUACCGUCGUAGUCUCAACUAUAAACUAUACCAGCUAGGGAUCGGCCAACGUUAAAUUAUUCGACUUGGUCGGCACCUUAUGAGAAAUCAAAGCAUCUGGGUUCCGGGGGGAGUAUGGUCGCAAGGCUGAAACUUAAAGGAAUUGACGGAAGGGCACCACCAGCCGUGGAGCCUGUGGCUUAAUUUGACUCAACACGGGAAAACUUACCAGGUCCAGACAUAGUAAGGAUUGACAGAUUGAUAGCUCU
rnacentral:rRNA from 1 species